rnacentral:lncRNA from 1 species
GGUUCUUCGGACCACCACGAGUGCUCCUGAGAGCCUAUAGUACUGGAGUGAGCACGAGUGGCAGUCUAUUUGCAAAACCGGCCACUGGUGCUGCAUCGGUGCUCCUGGAUCCAGCACCAGUGGCCGGUUUAUGCCACCAACCGCCACCCAUGCUCCUCAGUGCCUAUAGCACUGGAGCGAGCACCUUGGUUCUUCAUUUUUUUCACAUUGCAUUUUCAUUUUGAAACCAUGUAGGUAGAUCUCUUAAAAACCAUCCAACCCCAUGAACCAAAUGUGACAUGUUUUUUUUGUUUGAACUUGAAUUUUUUUUAUGGGUGUUCUGUAGCAAUCUGGAAGUGUCCACACCAAAUUUGACAAUGUUCUGAGAAAAAUUGAAUUUUAUAGAAUUUUUAUAGCACAGAAGCCACACAUAAUGACACUUAAUCAUAGAAAUUAGGGUAUAUAACAUUUGAAUUUAUGGUUCAGAAGUUUAUUGUUAAUAAACAAUCUUAUUAUACACAUAAAAGAACAGGUGGUGUAUUUAUUUAAAACCGAGAGAAUAUAUUAUGAAUUUAAUAGCUUAUUGGAAAUUCGUCACCAGCGGCGGUUUUUGUCGUGAGAACCGCCCCUGAUAUAAGGUACACAAACUUAAGGUCUCCAAUGCUCCUGCGUAUCAUAUCAGUGGAUGGUUUUUUUGCCAGCACCACCACUAGUGCUCGAUGCUAGUGGCGAUUCCCUGCGUAUCCACCGCCACUAGUGCUCCUCCGCACAAGGGGAAUUUUUGCGCCAGCACUAGUGGCGGUUUGCUGCGUUUUCACCGCCACAAGUGCUUCAUGCUAGUGGC